AAUGCUCAAAGGAUAAAUGUUAAAAUUUAAAAAAUAAUUUUAUUCUAAACUCGCAAGGGUAGGUAGUGUGCUACAUGAGGGGCAAGUUUUUCACGAACACUCCGUUCUGACCCAAUGAGUGGAGUUUGAUUGUAAUCCUUGCUACAAGU
ensembl:snoRNA SNORA62 Small nucleolar RNA SNORA62/SNORA6 family